UACGGAGGGUGCGAGCGUUGUCCGGAAUCACUGGGCUUAAAGGGCGCGCAGGCGGGUCGGCCAGUCUGUGGUGAAAUCCCCCGGCUUAACCGGGGAACGGCCGCGGAUACUGCCGACCUCGAGGGGGGUAGGGGCGUGCGGAACACUAGGUGGAGCGGUGAAAUGCGUUGAUAUCUAGUGGAACUCCGGUGGCGAAAGCGGCGCGCUGGACCCCUUCUGACGCUGAGGCGCGAAAGCCAGGGGAGCGAACGGG
rnacentral:rRNA from 1 species